rnacentral:rRNA from 1 species
CCUACGGGUGGCAGCAGUGAGGAAUAUUGGUCAAUGGGCGCGAGUCUGAACCAGCCAAGUAGCGUGAAGGAUGACUGCCCUAUGGUUUGUAAACUUCUUUUAUAUGGGAAUAAAGUGUUCCACGUGUGGGAUUUUGUAUGUACCAUAUGAAUAAGGAUCGGCUAACUCCGUGCCAGCAGCCGCGGUAAUACGGAGGAUCCGAGCGUUAUCCGGAUUUAUUGGGUUUAAAGGGAGCGUAGUUGGGUUGUUAAGUCAGUUGUGAAAGUUUGCGGCUCAACCGUAAAAUGGCAGUUGAAACUGGCAGUCUUGAGUACAGUAGAGGUAGGCGGAAUUCGUGGUGUAGCGGUGAAAUGCUUAGAUAUCACGAAGAACUCUGAUUGCGAAGGCAGCUUACUAGACUGCAACUGACACUGAGGCUCGAAAGUGUGGGUAUCAAACAGGAUUAGAUACCCUAGUAGUC